ensembl:lncRNA
CUGUACUUUAAAGAGUUUCAACUUUUAUUGAAAAUGUAAAAGAAUAACCAAAAUACUAGGAAAACCUUUGAUGGAGUGUCUGGGUAUUCCAAAAACAGUACCUCAUCUGUAUGAGUAAUCUUAAUAAGCCUCUAGAAAAACGCAGUGAAAACUAGUAUAAUGAAUGAGUCAAGUUGCACACAUUGGAAUGAAAAGACAAAGUUUAGAAUUUAAGAGUUCUUUUCAACCUUAUUCUGUAAAAUUUAAAAUUGUAUCUAAAAAUAGUUUGACGGGCGUAAAUAUUUGUUCUAGCCAAUUCAAUAUAAAUACACAUUUUAAUUUUAAAUCUGCCAUCAUUGGCAUGUGUUUGACUACGUGUGGACCUUUACAAACUUUGUUAAAAUGACUUUUAAAAAAAUCAUAAUCCCGUUUAACACUUCCAAAGGUACAUUAUCAUACGCCUUCACGGCAGUGAGAAAUCUGAGGAAAAACCCUUGAACUCUACAACAGGCAGUGGAGCUGUUCCCCUCUUACCAGCCGCCUCAUUUAUUCAGCGAAGCCCAACUACAAACUUCCUUUGCUUGACUCUUAACACUGAGCUAAGAGUCUAUAUAUACUCAGGCCUCCAGUUCGGGGAAGCCCUUCGCGGCCAAUCAGGGCUUCCCGAUCUAUUGCGUCACACCUCCCCCCUGGGUGUGACGUCAAAGGCGAUCCCAGGCCAGCCACGUGGGUUGGAGGAGCGUUUCUGGGCAGCUGUUCCGGAGACACCCGGCAGCAACGGUCCCGCAAGGGUGGGGAACUGGGCAGGGAGGGGCAGACAGGGCUCCUACGCGCACCUUCUGGGAACACAACUGUGGCAGCUCGCUCGCCCCGGAGGCGCGCAGGGUCGUCCCCCCUCCCCGGAUACCGGAAAGUCUCUUCUCUUUUUCGUAUCAAAAAAAGCCCGGUGAAGACUCUGCAGAACCCAGGAAGCGCAGAAUCGGGAGAAAGUCUUUGGCUGGGGCUGGUUCAAGACCCUGCUUCAAUGGGCUGCUGGAAGCCAGGACUGGGUAAUUCUUUCCAGACGUCUUGACUUCUCCUUGCUCGCUGUUGUUGCCUUUCUGCCUCCUCCAACUUAAGGGGGUCUUAACAAGUGAGCUGGGUUCCUCUGAGGGUGGACUUCUUUCGCGCUCGAUAGGCCUUGAAAACUGAGUUCCUGCUCCUUAUUACAUAUCUGGGACAAUAAUGAACAGGUCAAAACAGAAAAGUCGAGUAAACUGGGAGCGAUGCUUUUCAACACGUCGCGCAGGGUGUAGUGUUGGGGGAUGUGAUUUGAGGGCAAGAAUUUUAUUGCAAUACUAGGUAGUCAGCCAGCCCGGUCCCCGGGGGCCGACCUGCAAAGUACUACGCGUUUCCGCCCCCCGACCCCCCCACAGCGGUUACACCUCUGGGAAGCAUUACCUUGCCUGAUGACUUCACACUGCUCCGGGGAAACCCACUUACUAAUUCUCCCCUACAAACCUUCAGGGCUUCAGCCUUUGUUUGAACCCGGCCUUAGGUGGUUCAACUCUUGAGAAACUGGCUUAAGUUUCAGAGCACAAUUUCAUCCACUUAAUCAGACUCCUGCUUCUUGAUUUUUAGUUGUACGGUAGUUUUUAAAUGCUAAGCUGUAAUUUAAAAUAUAUUGUCUAACUGAUGUACUCUUACAUAUAAUGUGGAUUAAACUGAUUUAGGGGGAGGGUGGACAUCAUGGAGUGUCAAGUGUCUGGCUGUGGGACCCCACAGGGGCACUUAACCUCCACUCUAAACUUCCAUGAAUAUUAUAUGUAAUGCAGGCUUGCUGAUUAUUGCUUAGUAGUGCUUAACUGUUCCUGUGCUAAUGGUUCAAGCAAUGAAAACAUUUAGUAAAACUGUGUUUCUUUAUUAAUCAAAAACACAUUUGUUGUUUGUUCCCUUGAACUUGUAAUUCAUGGCCCAUAAAGCAAAAGUAAAAUAUUUCCUCACUGCGGAUGAAUAUAAAAGCUAAUUACAUAUCCGUGCAUUUCUGUCAGUUUCUCCCCCAUCCCCCAAGAGAAUGGGAAAGAGGCUAGAGGUGAAAGUUUACAUUUAAAUUCAGGGGUGAAGAUUCCUUAAAAGCAGAAUACUGUAUCAAUCAGAUUUUCUUAGGCAGGGCAUCCAGAAUAAGAGAUUGAGUAAAUUCAAAUCCCACCUUUGAUGUGGGAUUGUUUGUGUGUUCCUGGAAGUAUAUUUUACCUCUCUAGACCUUUAUUUCCUAGUUGAUAAAUGGAGAAAAUACCUGCUUUACAAAGUUGUUAUGAUGAUAGAACGUGUGAAACUAUGUUAGGAGAUUAGUAGAGUGCCUAAGCUCUACUCUUAGGUAGAGCUUCCUAAUGUAACUUAGCGUUUCCUAAUUUAACCAUUGUCGCUAUUCAAAAACAUUAGUACCCUUCUUCUGGUUUUCUAUUUUUUAUAUUAUUCUUGAUAGGCAUUAACUGGAGUUUCAUCCUGGGCUCAUUUGUUUGACCUACUUCAGCUUCCUACUGUCCCCUCACUGUCUCUCAUAGAUUGAAUUAUUCCAUGUGCCCAUGAAUACACCCCAAACCUUCAGGUUUAACCAAAAUUCCUUUCUGGAUUCCAGGCCUGAAUUACGGCUACUAGCCAUCUAGUAUUGAUUAAUAAGCAUCAUAUUUGGAGACGGGAGAUUCAGUUUCACCAACAAGCUAUAGCUUGUUUCAACCAAUUGAAUAACAUACGAUUGUCAAUUUCAAUUUUACCUUUCUAUUUUAAACAUAAGCUGUUUGGAUCAGAAGAUGACAGAUGUUUCAGGUUUUGACAUCCUAAGACAUACUUCUCCAACCUACGCUUGUUAUGGUUUCAACUAUCCAAGACAACAUAGCGAAGAACUUCAGAGGUAGGAGUUUGACCUGAGUCAACGUGAGUCUGCAGCAUGCUCUUGCUAACCUCCUUCCCACAACACAGAACAAGUGUUCACCUGUCUGAGAGACCGAGUUUCCAGAAGAAGGAUUCAGUACCUUCAUACUUCUCUGUGUAAAUGGUUCUCAAACUUUUUGGUGUGAAGUCCCUCUAUACGCUCUUAAAAAUUGUUGAGGACUUCAAAAAACGUGUUUAUAUGGGUUAUAUCUAUCAAUAGACCAUAUUAGAAAUAAAAACUGACCAAAAAUGUUUUAAAAUAUUUAUUAAUUAAUUUAAAAUAAUAAUAAACGCAAGGACUUGUCACCAUUUUUGUGAAAUGUGGCAUUGUUUUCCAUUUUUGCAAAUCUCCACUAUCUGGCUUAAUAGAAGACAGCUGGAUUCUCAUAGCCGCUUCAUCAUUCUAUUGUUUUGAUUGAAGUAUAUAAAGAAAAUCUGGCUUCAAACAGAUACAUAAUUGGGAAAUAGAGAAGUAUUUUAAUAGUCUUUUUAGAUAGUCUUCUGUGAUACUAUGUCAAAACUUGACAAAUAGUAGUUUUUUUUAACUUAAGUUGUAAUGGUGGAUCUAAAACAAUAGGAAUGAGCUUUUUGUACUCUGUUACUUAAAAUCUCUUUAUCUUAUACUUUAAAUGCAUCUUUUACAACCAUUCAUGCAUUUUAAUGUCCUGUAUCAUUUGUAUUGAUUACUAAGUUAGGCAGAUUUUCCGAAUGUUGAUAUAUUUCAUUAAAAAAACUCACAAUCAUUAAAAUCACCACCAGUCUCAUCCAAAAAGUCUUCAAAUAUUGAGAAGCUGUCACGGUCAUGGUGGCAAAUAAAGUUUUCCAAAAUUCUAAUUUUCUCUUGAAAGCUCAGAUAUUUUCAGUAGCAGCAAAUACUGUCAGUUGCUUUCACUGUAGCCACAAGUUCACUUCACUCAUAUUUCAAAAAAAUGAAAUGUCUUCCAAAUACCCAAGUCUGAUUAAUAGUAGUUUGUCAGUUGUUCUUUGAAGUAAAAAUGAUAUCCCAUGAUAAAAGUGGCCAGCUCAGCUCAGAACUCAGUCAUGUGAAAGCUCUUCUUCCAGUCAACCACGUAGUUUCUUGUACAGCAAGCUGUGUACUUUUCAUUUCUUCACAGAAAAUAUUAGAAAGACGUGUUC